rfam:Pseudocohnilembus persalinus scaffold1397, whole genome shotgun sequence.
GCCCCUUUAGCUCAGUGGUUAGAGCGCUCCCCUAGUAAGGGAGAGGUCGUAGGUUCGAUCCCUGCAAGGAGCU